ACCCUAGGCAGGCACUGCUCCCUGAUCCAGGAACCACCUCUCUCUACAGCUGGGAGUGAGCAGCCAGAGAGGGAGAGAGCCUUGCCCGGUGCUACCCAGCAAGCUAGUCACCGAGUGGGCAGAGGGAGGAGCAGCCCUCACUGGGUGUCAAGCAGCCUGGGUCCCUAGUCCAGCUCUGCCUGUCCCUAGCAAUAAAGCCUCAGUGACGACCAUUUGUGAGCCAUCUCUCUGUCUUAGGCAUGGUGCUACAUGCCAACGAAACCUGCUCCCAUUGAACCCUGGCCAGCCAGGGAAGAAAGGGCCUGGGAGGUGCCACUUUACAGACAGGGGCACCAAGGGGCAGGGUGGCAGGAGGCCCACCGGACGUUCCCCACGAAGUGGCAGUCCCAGCGUCCACACCCAGCAGGCACCACGCUGGCCCGCGGCCUCCCCGCCAGCACGCCUGGCUUCCCGGCCUCAGAACUUGAUCUGCUCCCUCUUCCGGACACUGGGGCUCCUGCCAAGUCCUGGGCUGGGCAGCAACUGCUGAACAUUC
rnacentral:lncRNA from 1 species